UACGGAGGGGGCUAGCGUUGUUCGGAAUUACUGGGCGUAAAGCGCACGUAGGCGGCUUUGUAAGUUAGAGGUGAAAGCCCGGAGCUCAACUCCGGAAUUGCCUUUAAGACUGCAUCGCUAGAAUCAUGGAGAGGUUAGUGGAAUUCCGAGUGUAGAGGUGAAAUUCGUAGAUAUUCGGAAGAACACCAGUGGCGAAGGCGACUAACUGGACAUGUAUUGACGCUGAGGUGCGAAAGCGUGGGGAGCAAACAGG
rnacentral:rRNA from 1 species